AUGAACUUCUCUGUUAACCCCGUACACAACUAUUUCCUCAUCUGCCGUUAUCUCUAUAGCCUUGUGAGACAUCUCAGUGUGAUCUAACCGGAAGUCAGGGUUGACUGCUAGUCGAUGUACCACUUCACAGGUAACCACAAAACGUUGGUUGACGUGGAGUUUGGAAGUACGGGAUGAGGUCAUGUGCACAUGAACUGAUGUGUUGCUGGCCGUGGUGAUGGAAUUCGCAGGACUGAUAUCUGGACGCUAAGUGAAGUUGUCUAGGAAAGGAAUGAGGAAGCGUGUCCCUCUGCUAUCUAGGACACGUAAAUAAAAUCCAACAGCAUAUCACAAACAGAUUCAUCUUACAGUGUGCCAGGGGAAGAAGUGUGAAUACCCUUGACGUACAAUUGAUGGCAGGAAUGAUACAAUCAUAUUGUUACAAGAGAAGAUGGCACUAUCAGAAGGGUCACCACUGCGUAGGAGUCCACUGGUUUUGCAGGAAUUCAUUGUUUAUCUGAUACAAUAUGUUUUUGAUUUUAAAAUUCUGAUUUGUUAUUCGUAGUUGUAAGACGGACAACAUACAUGGUUUUUAAUCAACA